CAGUCGCCGCGGUAAAACGGAGGGGGCUAGCGUUGUUCGGAAUUACUGGGCGUAAAGCGCACGUAGGCGGAUAUUUAAGUCAGGGGUGAAAUCCCAGAGCUCAACUCUGGAACUGCCUUUGAUACUGGGUAUCUUGAGUAUGGAAGAGGUGAGUGGAAUUCCGAGUGUAGAGGUGAAAUUCGUAGAUAUUCGGAGGAACACCAGUGGCGAAGGCGGCUCACUGGUCCAUUACUGACGCUGAGGUGCGAAAGCGUGGGGAGCAAACAGGAUUAGAUACCCCCGUAGUCCCUGUCUCUUAUAA
rnacentral:rRNA from 1 species